GCGAAAGCCCGUCGUCCAAUCCCCUCGCCCACAUGCCGCAACCCUCCCUUCCUCCUCCUCUCCCUCUCUCUCUAAGCGGCCGCCACAACACGAAGCCACAAACCCUAGCCCCCUCCUUCUCCCUUGCAUGUGUGCUCGUCGCCGCCUUCCCCCCUCUUCCCCAUCGUUGCGCCAAUGCCUCCACCGGCUACAAUGGAUCCAUGGCUGAUGGGUGGGUACGAGGCAGCGAAGGACGCCGUCCUCGACCCAUCGCUUAGGCUGGUGGAGCACAUGUUAGGUUUGGGCGCAAGGACUGGCACCGGCGGGGAAAAGCGUCGGGGGUUGAUGCAGCGGCAAAUACGGGCAGGGUCGGCCGCAGAGGGAGGCUCGCGGUCCGGAGCAGCAGCAGCAAAGAGGCAGGUCGGCCAUGGAAGGGUGGCUCGCCGGCCGGAGCAGUAGGAGCAAGGAGGCGGGGUCGACCGUGGAAGGGAGGCUCGCUGGCAGAAGCAGCAGGAGCAAUUGCAGCAGGUGCUAGUCGGCCCGACGCACCGUGUCAGCCUCGCCUUCUUAGUUGCGGCCCACACGCUCGAGAGGGGCAGCUGUGCCGUCACUGGUGGCAAGUUCAGCGGACGCCACCUCCUCUUCUAUUCGAACCCAGUAAGCCCUCUCGUGAGAGCAUCAGGGGAUGUCGUGCCCUCAAAAUCAGAUUGUUAUUCCUUGUCAGGGAGGAUAAUAUUCAUUUGACGAUGUCGUGCCCUCAACAUCAGAUUGUUAUUCCUUGUCAGGGAGGAUAAUAUUCAUUUGAAGGACUUAUUAGGCCCAGAAUAUUUAGCUGGUAAGAUACCAUGUUUGUAUGAUUCAUCCAUCUCUCUAAUUCUGACCUUACAGAUCAACUUAUCUCCCUGCACCCUUCUAAAUCUGGUGCUGCUACAUUUUUUCUUACAUGGGUAUAUGUAUGAGAUUUUUUCGUUUAGGUAUAUUUGUGCCUAAAAGAAGUUCACAUCUAUUUUCUUGUUAGAUGAGUCUGCUUCCGUUUGCUCGCUGUACGUAGGUUGCAGGAAUGAGAAUACUUAUGGGAUCACAUGAAUGAGCUGUUGAAGUCCUGGAUGCUCCAAAAUUGUAUCAUUGAUCCCACACAGUGGUUACAAUCCCAGUCUUUGAAUCACAAUAGACAAGACCAUAUUUCACCUUUUGUAUAGUCCAACUAAUAAUACACAUGGGGCCUGGUGAUGGUUUUCAAUAUAUUGUGAUAGUAGUUUCGUGCAUUGAUUAUUUAAUGAGCCACCCUUCUGUUUCCAACUCGAACUGGUGCAAUAGUUAAAUAGAUGUGUUCGUGCCAUUUAGCCUCCAAAUUCAGUUCAGUUCGGCUGUACAUCUUUUGCCGACCCCUUUUCUUGGUACUGAUUGACCUUUGUAUGUUUAUAUUUUUUUUAUUGCAGUUUUCCUUCAGUCCUUCCUCUUAGCGUAUAAUCUUGAUUGUGUGAGUUUCUUUCCUGGCAGGGUAUUUAUGAUUCAGACCAUUCUAUAACAAAAUGCAUAUAUGUCCUCAUGGUAGGAGUUCAGCUUCAGAGUGCAUCAAGUUUGUGUCAAAUUUAUUGUUCUAUUUUGGAACAGUAUACUUCCACAAGUUUUUUUCUAACGAUUACAUAUAAUACUUCCACAUAUCAUCUUACAAAAUGGAAGUACAGAGGAAUUAGUAUAUAGAAGUUAUGAUUGUUGUGCAGGGUGAUCUCUGAAGAUGGAUUGCAGGUAAGUAGAUUAACAAUUUAGUACUGACCCUAUUUCUGUUGAUACUUCAUUUUACUCAAUCUUUCGUAAUGAUCGUAAGCAUAAAGUUGGGUUGCAUUGCCAUGUAACGAAUGGAUAUCCUAAACCUGAGAAAGUACCAACGCAGAUGAUUGUUUGUUAGGAAUAUCAUCAUGUUAUUACAGUAAAGAUGGCUAUCUGUAGCACCUUCUAUAGAUCGGUUUACUAUUAGGAAUAUCAUUCAACCUCUGUACUAUGUAUUACCGCUACAAAUUUGGCUAGGGAAUCUGUCUCAUUUUAAUGUUGCGAUGAAUUGGUUGGGAUGGAGAGCGUUUUUUACUUGACUAUUUUUUGACCUAUAUAUCUUUCUGUUUUGUGCAAGUUCAAAGUAUUAGUAGUUUCAGUUUGACCAAUUUUUGCAGGGAUAUUGUGUGAGGUCUGGUACAAACUUUAAGAUAAUCACUUAAUACAUUCAUGGGAUAACCAACUUUUGGCGUUUGAUGAUACUAGCUAGGUGGGGCCAUGAAUUCCUAGAAUGUUGUGGCAAUUAUCCUGCUUCGCUUGCAAGAUUGGUUUCUAAAAAUAUCAUGGUAGUUGUAAUUUCAGAUUGCUGCUGAUUUGACUAAAUAUGUUUUGAUUGUUUUUAAGCUUUGUUUCUUUACUGUGUGCAAAACUAAUUCAUUCCUAACUAAAUCUUUCAAUGGUUGAUGGGAACACUACAGAUCUUGCUUCUCUGCUUUUUUCAUGUACAAACCGAGGCAUGUGGGCGUGAUGGCGGGCAUCUCCGGCAGCGGCGGCGACCUGCAGGCAAGAGGCAACGGCUGGGGUGUUUGAUUUGAUCCAGCGCCAUGGCCCGGUCCCUGCGGGAGAGAGAGAUGAGGGACAGAGAGAGAAGGAAGGAGAGGAGGGAGAAAGAGAGAGGGAGGUGAAUGCACUGGACUCUUCAAGAUCGAGGGCACCAUUGGAAAGGCCGAGUGCGUCCAUCGACAGCCUGCCCAGUGUCCGGAUUCACCAAGCAGUACAACCGGAGACGCUGUCGGCUGCCUGCAGCAGGCACCAAGCCGCCCGCUGUUGUCUCUUCCCGAAGAAGGAUUAUGGUUCUCCACCUCUUUGCUACUCAUAUUAAACUUCCGGAUUAAUUUUGUUUGUACUUUAACCAGUUCAAGGAUUGGUGGUCGAGCACUAUGAUCUUUAUACACUAAGGUUCGGUUGUGUUCUUUGAGAAAUGUAUGUCCUACAAGUCUCAUGUGUCUUGUCUUGUUUUCGCUUUCCAAGCUACAAGCUUUUGAUAUACUUCAAACGUGAUUCUUUAUAUGUUGUUUGUUCCAUCAAUCGUAAAAUGUAAAUUAGCAAUUAGGCAUCGACAUAGUGUAGUGGAACCAUUGUGCUUGAUGCAUUUUUAUUUUAGUGUUGAGAAAUAUAUUCGUUUUCAAGAAAUUGUUUUCUAAAUCCUAUCAACACAUUACCUGAUAUGGCCUUUGAAGUUUCUGUUUUAUAACGAUCUUUGUUGGAGUGGUCAACUUGAGUAUGGUAUAGCUUAUUCUUUUCUGUUGCAUCUAUUCCGGAGAAGUUUAGAGCUUCUGCAACCUUUUGAAGACACGAUUUAUAGUUGCGGAGAUGAAACAAUCAAUCAGUUGCGAUGCAUUACAUAAUCUUUUUUCUUUGGACAUUGAUGGGUAUUGCAGACUCCUUUAUUUUGCCAUAAAGGGCAGGAGCUGUGCCAUUUGACUUGACGGACAAAGCGUUCAUCACAAGGGGGUGGUCUUUAGGAUAUAUACACAAAAGAGGAAAUUUCCUUUUGUAUAGAACCAAAUUAUAUAAUGUAAUUCAGUUCAAAUUUUUUAUAUGAUGUAAUUGACCACUAUUUUUAUGAGAUUCUCCUGUACACAAUGUUUAUCAUGUAUUAAGUACAUUUUAUUGUCAAAUAUGUUUAUCCUUUUUUUA